AUCGAUCUUGGCGAGGUUUAU
rnacentral:rRNA from 1 species